rnacentral:rRNA from 1 species
UACGGAGGGGGGCUAGCGUUGUUCGGAAUUACUGGGCGUAAAGCGCACGUAGGCGGCUUUGUAAGUUAGAGGUGAAAGCCCAGGGCUUAACUCUGGAAUUGCCUUUAAGACUGCAUCGCUAGAAUCGUGGAGAGGUGAGUGGAAUUCCGAGUGUAGAGGUGAAAUUCGUAGAUAUUCGGAAGAACACCAGUGGCGAAGGCGACUCACUGGACACGUAUUGACGCUGAGGUGCGAAAGCGUGGGGAGCAAACAGG